rnacentral:rRNA from 1 species
UACAGAGGUGGCAAGCGUUGUUCGGAAUUACUGGGCGUAAAGGGCGCGUAGGCGGCUCGACAAGUCCCGCGUGAAAGCCCCCGGCUCAACUGGGGAACUGCGCGGGAAACUGUCGGACUUGAGUUCGGGAGAGGGAAGCGGAAUUCCGGGUGUAGCGGUGAAAUGCGUAGAUAUCAGGAGGAACACCGGUGGCGAAGGCGGUUCUCUGGGCAUGAUCUGACGCUGAGGAACGAAAGCGUGGGGAGCGAACAGG